rnacentral:ncRNA from 1 species
AGAUUUUUGAGCGUACUGUUAAGCGGUUUAAUAAACAGGCUAUUAUUCCGUAAUGAGACAUCCCCCUCGGCAGUAACCUGUUCGCCAUCCAGCGGAAUAUCAAGAUGUAAGCGAGCAUUCACAUCGCCAUCCAAUUGUAGCUCUGCAAGUGUCGAACCCAGCGAAUCCUUUAGCGGCGUUUCGUCGAAAUAAGGCCCCACGUUUUUUCCCGGCCCGUUAAUAUCGGCAUCAAUAAGCAGUUUCUCUUUGGAGUAAUCAGGAAUCGCGGCCACAAGUUUGCUGGCCUUAACCCCGCCUAAAUCGACACUAUCUGAGCGCAUCCACAGGCCAUCAUUCAGGAAAUCCAGUUCAAUGUUGAGAUUUUUUAUCGCAGGCCAGUCAGGCUGAAAGGCAAACGUGGCGUUACGCAACGGCA